rnacentral:rRNA from 1 species
GACGGAAGGUGCAAGCGUUGCUCGGAAUCACUGGGCGUAAAGGGUGCGUAGGCGGCCGUGCAAGUCUGGCGUGAAAGCCCCGGGCUCAGCCCGGGAAGUGCGCUCGAAACUGCGCGGCUCGAGUGCCGGAGGGGAGAGUGGAAUUCCUGGUGUAGCGGUGAAAUGCGCAGAUAUCAGGAGGAACACCUAUUGCGAAGGCAGCUCGCUGGGACGUAACUGACGCUGAGACGCGAAAGCGUGGGGAGCAAACAGG